GGAAUAUUGGUCAAUGGUCGAGAGACUGAACCAGCCAAGUAGCGUGCAGGAUGACGGCCCUAUGGGUUGUAAACUGCUUUUGCAGGGGAAUAAAGUGCAUCACGCGUGGUGUUUUGUAUGUACCCUGAGAAUAAGGACCGGCUAAUUCCGUGCCAGCAGCCGCGGUAAUACGGAAGGUCCGGGCGUUAUCCGGAUUUAUUGGGUUUAAAGGGAGCGCAGGCUGGAUAUUAAGCGUGACGUGAAAUGUAGCCGCUCAACGGCUGAACUGCGUCGCGAACUGGCUGUCUUGAGUGAGUUCGAUGUGGGCGGAAUUCGUGGUGUAGCGGUGAAAUGCUUAGAUAUCACGAAGAACUCCGAUUGCGAAGGCAGCCCACAAGGCCUUUACUGACGCUAAAGCUCGAAGGUGCGGGUAUCGAACA
rnacentral:rRNA from 1 species